CGCGUCUACCGUGCGGUCGAGCGGAGUGAUGGUGCUUGCACUAUCACUUAGCGGCGGACGGGUGAGUAAUGCUUAGGAAUCUGCCUAUUAGUGGGGGACAACAUUUCGAAAGGAAUGCUAAUACCGCAUACGUCCUACGGGAGAAAGCAGGGGAUCUUCGGACCUUGCGCUAAUAGAUGAGCCUAAGUCGGAUUAGCUAGUUGGUGGGGUAAAGGCCUACCAAGGCGACGAUCUGUAGCGGGUCUGAGAGGAUGAUCCGCCACACUGGGACUGAGACACGGCCCAGACUCCUACGGGAGGCAGCAGUGGGGAAUAUUGGACAAUGGGCGCAAGCCUGAUCCAGCCAUGCCGCGUGUGUGAAGAAGGCCUUAUGGUUGUAAAGCACUUUAAGCGAGGAGGAGGCUACUGAAGUUAAUACCUUCAGAUAGUGGACGUUACUCGCAGAAUAAGCACCGGCUAACUCUGUGCCAGCAGCCGCGGUAAUACAGAGGGUGCAAGCGUUAAUCGGAUUUACUGGGCGUAAAGCGCGCGUAGGCGGCUAAUUAAGUCAAAUGUGAAAUCCCCGAGCUUAACUUGGGAAUUGCAUUCGAUACUGGUUAGCUAGAGUGUGGGAGAGGAUGGUAGAAUUCCAGGUGUAGCGGUGAAAUGCGUAGAGAUCUGGAGGAAUACCGAUGGCGAAGGCAGCCAUCUGGCCUAACACUGACGCUGAGGUGCGAAAGCAUGGGGAGCAAACAGGAUUAGAUACCCUGGUAGUCCAUGCCGUAAACGAUGUCUACUAGCCGUUGGGGCCUUUGAGGCUUUAGUGGCGCAGCUAACGCGAUAAGUAGACCGCCUGGGGAGUACGGUCGCAAGACUAAAACUCAAAUGAAUUGACGGGGGCCCGCACAAGCGGUGGAG
rnacentral:rRNA from 1 species